GAGGAUAUAGUUCAGUGGUAGAAUACUUGCAUAGUAUGCAUGAAGUCCUGGGUUCAAUCCCCAGUACCUCCA
rnacentral:tRNA from 1 species